rnacentral:rRNA from 1 species
GCUGUCGUCAGCUCGUGUCGUGAGAUGUUGGGUUAAGUCCCGUAACGAGCGCAACCCUUGUCCUUAGUUACCAGCACGUAAUGGUGGGCACUCUAAGGAGACUGCCGGUGACAAACCGGAGGAAGGUGGGGAUGACGUCAAGUCAUCAUGGCCCUUACGGCCUGGGCUACACACGUGCUACAAUGGUCGGUACAGAGGGUUGCCAAGCCGCGAGGUGGAGCUAACCCCACAAAACCGAUCGUAGUCCGGAUCGCAGUCUGCAACUCGACUGCGUGAAGUCGGAAUCGCUAGUAAUCGCGAAUCAGAAUGUGGCGAUGAAGACGUUCCCGCGGUAUUGGCACACACGCAGU